ACUUGGAGAAGUGCAACUUGCAGCAUGACAUGCUGGCUUUUCUCGCUGUGGAUUCGGUUCAGGGUUUUGCUCCAAAUCAAAAUGAUCUGGGAACUGGUUCUUCAAAAGAUUGAGUCUCUCACUUGGCCUUCUCCAGGUAAUUAAUUGUCAAGGUAGUUUAUCCUCAUUUCCAGAGGGGAGGAAGUUCUGUGAAAAAGGGGAUAUAGCCUGAGUGAAAGUCGACUUGGCCUGGAAAUGACCACCAUCUCCAUCUGACUCAGAAAGGAGAAUGUGGUGUAUCUUGCAUUCCUACCUUGAAGGGAAGUUUUUUUAAAGCAUGGAGAUGUGGAAAUAGGCAAGUAAUUCAAGGCCUUGGGGUAAGGCAGAGGUGCCAAGGCUACCCAGAGGUGGGAGUUUAUAGGAGGCGGAAAGACAUCCCGAGGACAAGUUUAUACAAGAACUGUUCAGGGAAGGACAUAAAAGGAAGUGAGGCAAGAAGCCUCAAGAUUAACUUGGCAUCUUGCAAGUCUUUUUGAAAAAAUCCCCAACGGGGUUGUCAAAAAGCCUUCCUGUGUUUUCCUCAGAUGCUUGUACUUGCCUCAAGCCUGCUUCCUUGCUGGAUGUGCAACUUGAACCAGUCCUUAGAUACUCAACCUUGGCAGUAUUUAAAGCAAAUCAUUUCUUGCUUAGCACUUUUCCCUGGGUAGGAGGGAGGACUCUUAUGAGCGG
rnacentral:lncRNA from 1 species